UACGGGGGGAGCAAGCGUUGUUCGGAUUUACUGGGCGUAAAGAGCUCGUAGGCGGUUUGUCGCGUUGUUCGUGAAAACUCACAGCUUAACUGUGGGCGUGCGGGCGAUACGGGCAGACUGGAGUACUGCAGGGGAGACUGGAAUUCCUGGUGUAGCGGUGGAAUGCGCAGAUAUCAGGAGGAACACCGGUGGCGAAGGCGGGUCUCUGGGCAGUAACUGACGCUGAGGAGCGAAAGCGUGGGGAGCGAACAGG
rnacentral:rRNA from 1 species